AUCCAGUCGAUGAGUCCUAAAUAGGAUGAAACAUCUGUCCUGGAU
rfam:Schistosoma haematobium scaffold579_7, whole genome shotgun sequence.